rnacentral:rRNA from 1 species
GGGUUAGUAGGUUGGUCAUGCCUCUGGUAUGUACUGGUCUCACUGAUUCCUCCUUCCUGAUGAACCUUAAUGCCAUUAAUUUGGUGUUUUGGGGAAUUUGGACUGUUACUUUGAAAAAAUUAGAGUGUUUAAAGCAGGCGCACGCUUGAAUACAUUAGCAUGGAAUAAUGAAAUAGGACGUUUGAUUCUAUUUUGUUGGUUUCUAGGAUCGACGUAAUGAUUAAUAGGGAUAGUUGGG